rnacentral:rRNA from 1 species
GCCUACGGGGGGCAGCAGUGGGGAAUAUUGCGCAAUGGGCGAAAGCCUGACGCAGCGACGCCGCGUGAGGGAUGAAGGUCUUCGGAUCGUAAACCUCUGUCAGCAGGGAAGGACGGUCACUGUGCUAAUCAGCAGUGAAUUGACGGUACCUGCAAAGGAAGCACCGGCUAACUCCGUGCCAGCAGCCGCGGUAAUACGGAGGGUGCGAGCGUUAAUCGGAAUUACUGGGCGUAAAGCGCUCGUAGGCGGUAUGUCAAGUCAAGGGUGAAAUCACCGCGCUCAACGUGGGAACUGCCUUUGAAACU